UACGUAGGGUGCGAGCGUUAAUCGGAAUUACUGGGCGUAAAGCGUGCGCAGGCGGUUUUGUAAGCCAGAUGUGAAAUCCCCGGGCUUAACCUGGGAAUGGCAUUUGGGACUGCAAGGCUUGAGUGCGGCAGAGGAGACUGGAAUUCCUGGUGUAGCAGUGAAAUGCGUAGAUACCAAGAGGAACACCGAUGGCGAAGGCAGGUGACUGGACAUUUGGUGACGCUGAGGCGCGAAAGUGUGGGGAGCGAACCGG
rnacentral:rRNA from 1 species